UGGAAGGGUCCUCUCACGAUUCUACUGAGCGGGGAGGUGAAUCGGACACACCCCUGUGACCCAGGGCGGGCUGGGGUGCUGGGCUCCGUCCUCCCUCUCCGUCCGGGGCAGGUAGGCUCCGGGGAUGGGGCUCAAAUGCUGGGCUAAGCAGGGCUCUGCACGGGCCUUCCCUCAGCCACCAAAGGCCAUUUUGUGCACCUGUGCCAGCUCCUUGUGAGCCAGCGGGUCAUCUUGGUGACAAAGUGUCGGCUCUCCGUACCCAGUUCUCAUGCCUUCUCUCCAGACAGUGCAACAGACCUGCUGCUCCGACCUUGACCCUUCAAGUAGAUAGACGUGGCCAGACCUGCCGGUUCUCGCACCAAAGCUGCAGAAGGAGGGGUCAGCAGAAGCAGUUAAAUGUGGAUGUCGCUUUUCACAAAGCAGAGAGUUCUGCCUCUUGGCAGCACCAGCUUCCACAGAUCACAGAUUAUGGGAUUUGAAGGUUAGUGAUCUCAGGUAUCAAAAUUUCUUCUACUUCAUUCAUGUUGCUGAUGGGGAACCUGGGGUCCUUAUCUGUUGUGGAAAGUACUACAACUUGCUCUUGUUUGCUUCUGAGUGACCUCUUCUGGACUUUAAUUUCAGUUCAGUUCAGCGAAUCUUUAGUAAACACCUAUAAUGGGAAAGGCCUGCAGAUCCAGUGACGGAGAAGACAUCGCUUCCAUCCUCAAGAAGGUCACCGUCAAGGGAGAAAAGGGCGCACGAAGAGGGAACAGCCCACCGCCUGAUAAAGACAGGGGGAGAGUGCAGGGCGUGAAAAUGUAGAAGGAGGGCCCCUGACCGGGAUUUGGGGCUCUCAGGGGAGGCUUCUAGAAGGAUCGCCUGUGAGUCAUCUCUUGAAGGGCAAAAAGCGACCCGUAAGAUGAGCAUGUAGAGAGGGCAUGCCAGAGGGCGCACGGCUAGCGGAAGCUGGUGUGAUUGGGGCUUAAGGAGGGAGGUGGCAGCGGCAAGUGGACUGGGGGGUGGGGGCGGGGGGCAGCCUGCUGUGGGGCUGGUGGCCACAGGCCAUCCCUCGCUUCCUGGGUUUGAUGAGCGCAUCCUCGCUCAGUUCCCUGUACCCCUGAGCUCGGAAGCCCCCCAUCCGGCUUGCCUUCAUCUCUGUUCACGUGCGCCUAGCUUUCGCUGCGCUCUGCAGAGACUGCAUUUUAAAACAUUUUACAAAUGCGGGGUGUGUGGCAGCCCCGUGUGGAGCAGGCCCAUCAGUACCAUUUUUGUAACAGCAUUUGCGCUGUGUCUUUGUGUCGUGUUUUGGUAAUUUUUGCAAUAUUUCAAAGUUUUCCACUAUUAUAUUUGUUAUCCUGAUCUGUCAUCAGUAUGACUUGCUGAAAGUUCAGAAAAUGGUAGCAUUUUUUAGUGAAAAGUCUUUUUUAAGAUUUUAUUUAUUUAUUAAACAUUUAUCCAUUUUUGAGGGCAGAGAGAGACAGUGUGAUGAGGGGAGGGGCAGAGAGAGAGGGAGACACAGAAUCCGAAGCAGGCUCCAGGCUCCGAGCUGUCAGCACAGAGCCCGAUUCGGGGUUUGAACUCACGAACCGUGGGAUCAUGACCUGAGCCGAAGUCAGACGCUUAACUGACUGAGCGACCCAGGUGCCCCAAGAGUUUAUUUUUAAGGAAUCUCUCUACCCAGCAUAGGAAUUGAACUCACAACCUCGAGAUCAGGAGUCACAUGCUCCUCGAUGGAGUCAGCCAUGUGUCCUGCAAUAAAGUAUUUUUAAAUUAAGGUGUACAUAUUGAUUUUUUAGACAUAAUGCUAUUUCAUAUUCAGUAGACUAGUAUACUUUUAAAAAUAAGGUUGAUUUAUUUUUGAGAGAGGAGGAGCGUGCUGACAGCACAGAGCCCGAUGUGGAGUUCGGACUCACAAGCCUUGAGAUCAUGACCCGAGCUGAAAUCAGGAGGUGGACGCCUAACCGACUGAGCCACCCGGGCGCCCUAUGAAUACUGGGAAACCCGGAAAUUCAUUGACUUGUUUUCUUGCAAAAUUUAUUUUAUUGCAGUGGCCGGGAACUAAGCUGGAGGUGUCUCUGAGGUGAGCCUGUAGAUGGAAGAGGCUGAUCUGCUGAAGGAAGAGCUCAAGCGCCACCACCUCCAUGAAGCCUCCGUGGAUUGCCCCUGCCUUCAAUGAGCUGCACUGUCUGGACCACACUUGGGACCCGUGUUGUGGCCCCUUGUCACCCACGGAAGCCUAGCCUCUGUGGUGAGACCGUGAGCUCCUGGGGGCUGCUCGUGAGUCUGGUGAUAACGUUUAGUUCAAUAAAUACCAGUAAGACUGAAUCCUAUUGAUAUGGAUUUCAGGACACAUGGAAAGUGCUGUGGCGUUGCGGUUGGACAGACCUGGGUCUGAUUCCAGCCAUGCCACUAGGUACUUGUUAGUAACUGGGGGCAAAGUUUAAGACCUGCCCAACGCCUCAGUUUU
ensembl:lncRNA